rnacentral:misc_RNA from 1 species
UCUCCGUUGGUGAACCAGCGGAGGGAUCAUUACCGAGUUUACAACUCUCAAACCCCUGUGAACAUACCAUUUGUUGCCUCGGCGGUGCCUGCUCCGGCAGCCCGCCAGAGGACCCAAACCCUUGAUUUUAUACAGUAUCUUCUGAGUAAAUGAUUAAAUAAAUCAAAACUUUCAACAACGGAUCUCUUGGUUCUG